rnacentral:rRNA from 1 species
GACGAACGCUGGCGGCGUGCUUAACACAUGCAAGUCGAACGAAGUGGCGAACGGGUGAGUAACGCGUAAUCAACCUGCCCUUCAGAGGGGGACAACAGUUGGAAACGACUGCUAAUACCGCAUACUGAAGGAGGGGAUGGCGUCAGAUUAGCUAGUUGGAGGGGUAACGGCCCACCAAGGAGAGCAUGAGUAGCCGGGCUGCGAGGAUGAACGGCCCAAUUGGGACUGAGACACGGCCCAGACUCCUAAGGGUGGCAGCAGUGGGGAAUCUUCCGAAAUGGACGAAAGGCUGACGGAGCAACGCCGCGUGAGUGAUGACGGCCUUCGGGUUGUAAAGCUCUGUUAAGCGGGACGCGGUACCGGAAUAGAAAGCCACGGCUAACUACGUGCCAGCAGCCGCGGUAAUUC